rnacentral:ncRNA from 1 species
GUUGAGAGAGCCGCCUUUUUUCGGUUCGUUGGGAAACCACUCGGCUG